AUUUUUCUGCCCUAAGUGCAUUCCCUUACAUUUCUCUGUGUUGAUUUUCAUUUUGAUAGCUUUGGCCCAGGGUGAGAGUCAGUGAAGGUGAUCAUGGGUCAGUGAGGGCAAGACCUUUCAGGAAUCCAGCUAUAGCAAAAGUCCUCAGCCAAAGUGCAUUUACCUCACCUGUGCCUUUGCAGUUGGAUGAGAAAGACUUCACCUGUGUCAGAAUUUGAGCCUUUCCCUCUCUCAGAAUUUGCAUUUAGAUCUCUUCCUCCCGUGCAAACCACUGAUUUCCCAGGAAAGAUGAAUGAAUAUACUUCCCUAGAUUUUGUUGUGAAUUUUUAUCACAUUGUCGAAAUUCAGUCUUAGGUGACUGAAAGAGAUUGAAAGAUGUGGAAUGCCUGAGUAUUUCUUACAGAGCACUGACCACCCUUUCUCUGUUUCCUUGCAAGAAUGUCCCAAACCAGAUCUCAUCUCCCAUCUGGAAAAAGGAGAAGAUCCCUUCGACCAGAGCUCUCUGAAAGAGGAGAGACCUGCAGGAUUGCAUGAGGCACACACCUUGGAAGUACAAGACUGGAUCUCAGAAAUGUUGUCUGCAUAGUUUCCAUUGAGUCAACAUUAGUAUAAGCACACCACUGCGCCCCAUGUAACAUCUGUGCCAGGGCCUUCAUAUUAAAAACCUGUAUAGCUGAAGGGAUGUCCUGGCCUCCUUUAGUGAAAAAAAAGGGAUGCAAGUGAUUUGAUACUUCUUUGCGCAUUUGCUAUGGCCUUUAUAGGGCGAGCUUUCCAAGAACCCGAGGACUGAAGAAGCACUCCUAGACAGUAAGGAGAAAGAGAUAUUUCAGGAGCCACCUGAGGCAUCCAGGGUUACAUGGAAGCCAGUCGUGGAAAAAGAGGAGUUUGGAGGCCACAGUCCAAUAGGGAAACCAACUCAGUCAUAGUUUUCAUGAACUCAUACAAGGGAGAAACCACACAGAUGGAUCUGUUGCGGUAGACAGAAAUCUACAUUCACAUCAAAGAACCCACACAGGGGAGGAGCCAUAUCAAUGUAUGGCAUGUGCCUGAUACCAACUAUGGCCAGCUGUAAGCAGCAUCAAGGGAGUCCUCAUGGCUUUCCCUUGGACCAUCCAGCCACCAGCCUAAGAAGGAAGAUGGACCCUGAGCUCGCCUCCUGCCCAGGACCAACUAGGGCCAGCUUAAGCAAAAUGUGGCAUUUUACUGGUUUUGUAUUAUUUUAAAUGUUUAAAGUCGAGGAAUUUGCUAUUAUCUUGCCAUGUUUUUGGUGGUCUCCUUCCAUUAUUGUAUUAUUACUGUCCUAAUAUUUGUAUUCAACGGUAUUUUUUCUGCUAGAGGAAAGAGUUAUUAUUAUGUAAUGUUUUGGGAGUAUAUGGGAUUAUGGUUUCCUGCUGCUAUCAUAUUAUUAUUGUCUUAGUAUCUGUAUUGAACUGUAUUUUAUGCUGCUAGGGGAAAGUUGAUAUUUGUUAGUUAGAUUAACUAUGUUAGGGUAUAUUUUAAUUUAUUAUGUUGAUACUGUGGAUUUUGUUCUUUGUAUAUUUUCUUAUAUAUUUUCCUUGCUUUAGACAUUAGGUUUAUGUUUUGUAUCCUGGUUUAUAUUUACUGUACAGUAUGAUUUUUUUUGUAUCUAAUAUUUUUGUUGUAAUCCGCUUUGAUUCCAUG